GACGAACGCUGGCGGCGUGCUUAACACAUGCAAGUCGAACGAAGUGGCGAACGGGUGAGUAACGCGUAAUCAACCUGCCCUUCAGAGGGGGACAACAGUUGGAAACGACUGCUAAUACCGCAUACUGAAGGAGGGGAUUGCGUCUGAUUAGCUAGUUGGAGGGGUAACGGCCCACCAAGGCGAUGAUCAGUAGCCGGGUUGAGAGGAUGAACGGGCAAAAUGGGACUGAGAAACGGCCCAGACUCCUACGGGAGGCAGCAGUGGGGAAUCUUCCGAAAUGGAGGAAAGUCUGACGGAGCAACGCCGCGUGAGUGAUGACGGCCUUCGGGUUGUAAAGCUCUGUUAAGCGGGACGCGGUACCGGAAUAGAAAGCCACGGCUAACUACGUGCCAGCAGCCGCGGUAAUUC
rnacentral:rRNA from 1 species